AUACGGAGGGUGCAAGCGUUACUCGGAAUCACUGGGCGUAAAGCGCGCGCAGGCGGCUAUUUAAGCUGGAUGUGAAAGCCUACGGCUCAACCGUAGAACUGCAUCCAAAACUAUUUAGCUAGAGUGUGGGAGAGGAAGAUGGAAUUAGUUGUGUAGGGGUAAAAUCCGUAGAGAUAACUAGGAAUACCAAAAGCGAAGGCAAUCUUCUGGAACACUACUGACGCUGAGGCGCGAAAGCGUGGGGAGCAAACGGGAUUAGAAACCCUAGUAGUCC
rnacentral:rRNA from 1 species